rnacentral:rRNA from 1 species
GACGAACGCUGGCGGCGUGCUUAACACAUGCGAGUCGAACGGAAAGGCCCUGCUUUUGUGGGGUGCUCGAGUGGCGAACGGGUGAGUAACACGUGAGUAACCUGCCCUUGACUUUGGGAUAACUUCAGGAAACUGGGGCUAAUACCGGAUAGGAGCUCCUGCUGCAUGGUGGGGGUUGGAAAGUUUCGGCGGUUGGGGAUGGACUCGCGGCUUAUCAGCUUGUUGGUGGGGUAGUGGCUUACCAAGGCUUUGACGGGUAGCCGGCCUGAGAGGGUGACCGGCCACAGGCGGCGGGGGCUCCGCGCCUGGAUAAGGGGGGGGGCGGCAGUGGGGAAUAGUGCACGGUGGGGGGACGCCGGGGGCAGCACGGCGGCGGGGGGGAGGAGGGCGUGCGGUUGGUAACCGGCUUGCGCGUGUGGCGAAGAGUGUGUGGCGGGGGGGGGUAAAGAAGCACCGGCUAAAUACGUGCAAGCAGCGGCGAUAAUAAAGGGAAGAGCCCCCGUUUGAUC